UACGUAGGGUGCGAGCGUUAAUCGGAAUUACUGGGCGUAAAGCGUGCGCAGGCGGUUAUUUAAGUCAGGUGUGAAAGCCCUGGGCUUAACCUAGGAAUUGCGCUUGAGACUGGAUAGCUUGGAGUGCGGCAGAGGAGGUGGUGAAUUCCACGUGUAGCAGUGAAAUGCGUAGAGAUGUGGAGGAACACCGAUGGCGAAGGCAGCCUCCUGGGCCAGCACUGACGCUCAUGCACGAAAGCGUGGGGAGCAAACAGG
rnacentral:rRNA from 1 species